rnacentral:tRNA from 1 species
GUUCAUGUAGCUUAAUCAACUAAAGCAAAGCACUGAAAAUGCUUAGAUGGAUUUCUGAUCCCAUAAACA